AUUGAACGCUGGCGGCAGGCCUAACACAUGCAAGUCGAGCGGAUGAAGGGAGCUUGCUCCUGGAUUCAGCGGCGGACGGGUGAGUAAUGCCUAGGAAUCUGCCUGGUAGUGGGGGAUAGCGUCCGGAAACGGGCGCUAAUACCGCAUACGUCCUGAGGGAGAAAGUGGGGGAUCUUCGGACCUCACGCUAUCAGAUGAGCCUAGGUCGGAUUAGCUAGUUGGUGGGGUAAAGGCCUACCAAGGCGACGAUCCGUAACUGGUCUGAGAGGAUGAUCAGUCACACUGGAACUGAGACACGGUCCAGACUCCUACGGGAGGCAGCAGUGGGGAAUAUUGGACAAUGGGCGAAAGCCUGAUCCAGCCAUGCCGCGUGUGUGGAGAAGGUCUUCGGAUUGUAAAGCACUUUAAGUUGGGAGGAAGGGCAGUAAGUUAAUACCUUGCUGUUUUGACGUUACCAACAGAAUAAGCACCGGCUAACUUCGUG
rnacentral:rRNA from 1 species